AAGGCUUUAUGUUAAAUAAACAAGUAGCCUUCAAAGCUACCAAUGGAAGUUUAAUCUUCUAAGCCUUA
rnacentral:tRNA from 1 species